rnacentral:lncRNA from 1 species
GUUUGGUUUCACGUUAAAUUAUAAAAAAAAUUUUGAUGAAAAAAUUAUUUCUAACACAAGUGGCAAAAAUUUUGAUGGUUAAAAUUCGAGGUAUCAAGUUUAAAUCCUAGCAAGUUGAUUCACAUUUUUUACUAAAUUUAUUUUAAAUGAAAUAAAUGAAUCGGGUAGCUAUGCUACUUAAUUAUCUCUCAAUAUAUAUAUAUAGAGUCCGGCUACUAUGCUAUCGGUAGCACGGAGCGCUCCGUGCUACCGAUAGUAUAGUAGCCUAGUUCUAUAUAUAUAUAUAUAUAUAUAUAUAUAUAGUGUGAGGCUACUAUACUUUUGGAAGCACGGAGUCUUCCGUGCUUCCACGUCGUUUUCGAUGUUGCGACUUUCGAAUCAUCGAUCGGCUCCAUUAAAUUUGAUCUAGAGUAUUUGAAGUAAUUAAAAAAUAAAUUUUAAGAUUUUUUGAUAUUAUUUGCCUAGUGAUCGAAAGGGCUCAAAAUCAAUAAUUUUAAUAGUCGUAGUGAGUCAUUUGCAAGUUUAACGGUGUAGAAAUAUUCAAAUCACGUAAAAUUUUGAUAAACAAUUCUUUAUACUAUAUAAAAUAAGAUCAAUAUGUUUAAUCUAAAAUUUUAAUGUCAUAUUAUCACGUUUUGUAAAAUUUUUAUUUUCAGGCGUUGAUUUUGAGCCCCUUUGUUCACUAGGCAAAAUAAUAUCGAAGAUCGCAUAAUUUAUUUUUCUAGGUAUUUCAAAUAUUCUAAAUCAAGUUUAACGGAGCCCAUCGACGAUUCAAAAGUCGCAACAUGAAAAACGAUCUGGAAGCACGGAAGGCUCCGUGCUUCCAGAAGCAUAGUAACCUCACUCUAUAUAUAUAUAUUUUUUUGUACAUCUUUU